rnacentral:ncRNA from 2 species
GAAUGAAUAAUUCUCCGAGCCUGGUGACCUGAAGCCAGCCAGGUAUGGUUGCCAGGCCAAUGGGUCUGGCGGGAAACCGCCGGGCCUCCCAUUACGGAAAGGAGAGCACUAUACGCCAGG